GAUGAACGCUGGCGGUGUGCCUAAUACAUGCAAGUCGAGCGAAUGGAUUAAGAGCUUGCUCUUAUGGAGUUAGCGGCGGACGGGUGAGUAACACGUGGGUAACCUGCCCAUAAGACUGGGAUAACUCCGGGAAACCGGGGCUAAUACCGGAUAACAUUUUGAACCGCAUGGUUCGAAAUUGAAAGGCGGCUUCGGCUGUCACUUAUGGGUGGACCCGCGUCGCAUUAGCUAGUUGGUGAGGUAACGGCUCACCAAGGCAACGAUGCGUAGCCGACCUGAGAGGGUGAUCGGCCACACUGGGACUGAGACACGGCCCAGACUCCUACGGGAGGCAGCAGUAGGGAAUCUUCCGCAAUGGACGAAAGUCUGACGGAGCAACGCCGCGUGAGUGAUGAAGGCUUUCGGGUCGCAAAACUCUGUUGUUAGGGAAGAACAAGUGCUAGUUGAAUAAGCUGGCACCUUGACGGUACCUAACCAGAAAGCCACGGCUAACUACGUGCCAGCAGCCGCCGUAA
rnacentral:rRNA from 1 species